UACGAAGGGGGCUAGCGUUGCUCGGAAUCACUGGGCGUAAAGCGCACGUAGGCGGUUUCUUAAGUCAGGGGUGAAAUCCUGGAGCUCAACUCCAGAACUGCCUUUGAUACUGAGAAGCUUGAGUCCGGGAGAGGUGAGUGGAACUGCGAGUGUAGAGGUGAAAUUCGUAGAUAUUCGCAAGAACACCAGUGGCGAAGGCGGCUCACUGGCCCGGUACUGACGCUGAGGUGCGAAAGCGUGGGGAGCAAACAGGG
rnacentral:rRNA from 1 species